UGUGAAUGUGCUUAAUGCCAUGUACACUUAGAUGGCUGAGAUGGUAAACUUUAUGUUAUGUGUAUUUCACUACAAUUGAAAAAAAACAAGACUGCCAGGCACGAUGUCUCACGCCUAUAAUCCCAGCAUUUUGGGAAGCCAAGACAGGAAGAUCACUUGAGGCCAAGAAUUCAAGACCAGCCUGGGCAACAACAGCAAAAAAAUCUUACAAUUAGUUAGCCAUGGUGGUGCAUGCCUGUGGUCCCAGCUACUCGGGAGGCUGAGGCAGGAAGAUCGCUUGAACCCAGGAGGUUGAGGCUGCAGUGAGUAGCGUUCGUGCCACUGCACCCCAGCCAGGGCGACAGAGUGAGACCCUGUCUCAAAAAAACAAACAAAAAACUCAAGACUUUCCUGGAUGUGUAGUUGCUACCACCAUGCCCCUGGCCCUUCUGUAGAGGGGGCUUUUAAAGAGAUAAAACAAACAAAAAUCUCAAGUAGGAGAAGUAUUGAAACCUUUGAUUCCUAGAGAAGAUGGAGAAAGAAAGGAUUCCUGGUUUAACAAAAUGUUAAAUGUAGUGAAAUUUAAAGUACCCUAAUAUCACCAAUGCCCAGAAGCCUCAGCCAUCUGUCACACUGAGGGCUAGGAAAUGAGCAAAAAUGCCUCUGUGGGACCACAAGAAAUAUCAUUAGACUAAUCAAAGAACCAAUUUUAUGAAGUAGAUGAUCCCAAUUUUUAAAACUGUAAAGAAAGCAUUUACGUUUUUGUUUUUGUUUUAUAAAGACAGGGUCUCGCUGGGUGCAGUGGCUCACUCCUGUAAUCCCAGCACUUUGGGAGGCCAAGGUGGGUGAACCACAAGCUCAGGAGGUCGAGACCAUCUUGUCCAACAUGGUGAAACCCCG
rnacentral:lncRNA from 1 species